GCAUUUGUAGUUCAGUGGUAGAAAUCUCAUCUUGCAUGCGGGAGACCUGAGUUUGAUUCCCAGCCAAUGCA
rnacentral:tRNA from 1 species